AGCUCCAAUAGCGUAUAUUAAAGUUGUUGCAGUUAAAAAGCUCGUAGUUGAAUUUCUGUCUAGAAAGACCUGUGCAGCACUUUGUGUUGUCUACGUGGUUGAGUCUAGAUAUAUAUCUGUAGGGCGUGUGUACUUAACUGUGUGCACGAACUGCGGAAAUUUUACUUUGAGAAAAUUAGAGUGUUUCAAGCAAGCAAUCGCUUUGAAUACUGCAGCAUGGAAUAAUGUGAUAAGACUUUGGUCUUAUUUUGUUGGUUUCUGAGGCUGAAGUAAUGAUUGAUAGGGACAGUUAGGGGCAUUCGUAUUUAACUGUCAGAGGUGAAAUUCUUGGAUUUGUUAAAGACGAACUAGUGCGAAAGCAUUUGCCAGGGAUGUUUUCA
rnacentral:rRNA from 1 species